GAGAAGUGAUUUAUGUGCCACCGCAUCUGAGAAGUAGAGGCUUGGCUGGUCCGCAAGCUCUGUAUUCAUUUCUCUGUCUCUGUCUCUCUCGUUCUCACCCUGUAAGAGCAGCUUGUCUCCUCACAGUCACAAAACCAACUCAGGAUGGAGCUCUGUGGGGCACACUUCCUCCUGUGCCCAUCCCUGAACCAGGCACCCUGAGGCCACCCUGGGCCAGCUCACAGUCUAGAGGAAAGCGUGGUGGGAGAGCUGUCCCAGGAUUUGGGGCUUUAGGAGCAUUGCCAGGUUGACCACCUGUCCUCAAAGGGACGCCCAGCGUUCAGCAGCUCGUGGAGUCAGUCCUGAGCCGAGCUCAGCUUUAGGUUCUGUGAUGAGCUCAAACCAUCUUGCUUAACACACAAAAGGUAGAGCGUCCCAUGCAAGUUCCCACUGAAAUACGCUGGGACUGAAUAAACCAUGUUUCUUCCUCUGCAGGAGAAGCGACCUUCCUGACACAGAGCAGGGCUGGAGGGAACCGGGUCAGGUGCAUUGGUGUCCCCGCUCAGUGGGUGUGAGACUGUCCAGGCUCGGAGAAUUUCCCAUAGCAAACACAACCACUCUAUCAGAGGAACAGUCUGGGAGGACCGGGCCAGGAUCUCCAGACACCUUGAUGGGCUGAGACUCAAUCUGAGAAUGAUGAAUACUCCCUCCAUGACAGAGUUGUAAACUUCCCCCGAAUCAGGGCCCCCUGUUCAUGGCCUCUUGGAAUGUCUCCCAGCUUUUACCCUGAAACUGCUUUGAUUUGUCACUCUUUUUCCAGCCCCCCAGCAGCGCUUCUCCAGCAAGCACAGGCGCCAAGCUCUACAGCUUUAGGAGCAACAUGGCCAGGCUGGGCUUGUGUUCAAAGGGGUAGGUUUGUCCAGUAUCCAAAUAGGUAACUGAUGUCUAGGGCCUGAAGUUGGCUCACAUCUAGAGAUUGAGUUUGCUUCAUGAUGGGGUGGGAUCACAAAGUGAGGUGCCACUGUGUCAUGAGACUCCCAAGGGAAAGCUGGGAGCUAUACGGGCCCAGGGAUAAGACUCCUCAUUCUUGCUAGUCCCUGGGGUGCUUCAGCAUUGCUGUGGGUCCUCUGCACCUGCCUACACCUCUAAGGAUAAAUAGAAAAGCUAUCUUCAGUUAUCCACAUUGGGCGUGCCAUCUGGUCACAUCAGGACCCCACCUGACUCAGGUGUGCCCACACACUGCCAGAGGCAGAUGGGUGUGAGCUUCAGGAGCAGCAUCGUGUCCUCGUCACUCCCUGCACUGACUCUAUUCUCUCCCACGGUGGACCAGCUUCUCCAGGUGGCAGGAAACAUGGAGGUUCACAGCCCCUGAGCCUCAUGUCAUGGAGCCUCGGCCAUUGGAGAAAGAUACGCCAUAUUAGUUCCAAUUUGGAAGGUCUCAGAGAAGGACUAUGAUUGGCUCAGCCUUGGUCAGGUGACCACUUUUAUGGAUAAAUGAAUGGUGGCCAUGAGGGUGGGCUCAUGUGUCCACUGUGAGAUGCUCAUGAAUGUGGCAAAGUGCAUGACAAGGAACUCCUCACAAAGGACCACACCACAGUCACCUUUGUAUCCUCUGUGCCCGGCACAGGGAGGGCCCAGUACAUGUUUACUGAAUGAAUGAUGAGGAGAAGCACGUGGUGACAGAGAAAGGGCUUCUAACCCAGCUGGGCAGAGGCUCCACUCAGUAGAUGAUGCCUGAAUUGAGUCUGAAAGAUAAGUAGGGGUUAGCCAGGCUGCCUAAGGGAUUUGGUGAGGAAGGGGAGAGAAGAGAAGGAGUGUAGAGCCAGAGAAAAAUGGAGGGAGUUAAGCUUUGCUGAAAAAUGAAGGGAUUUUGUGGCAAAGAUAGAAAAUAAAGCUCACAAGGAUGAAGAAGCCACAUGUAAAAUGCACUGAUGAGUGAGGGCUUUCUCUUGUAAGGAGAGAAGAGGGGAGACGUUGACCUGUCAGUGGGCUCUGUCAAUGCCAGGGUCUGGGGAUGGACCCUAGAGGGGAAAUGGAGCACUGGCCUUGUUUCCAAGGGGAUAGUGAUGGGACUUGGGGACAAUCCCCCAGACAAGGUCAGGGCAGCAUCCUCACAGCACUGAGCCUAACAGCAUGGACGCCUGCCUGCCUGGGCAUGAGCCCAGGGUCUGAUCUGACACUUAUUAUGAUUAAGACCUUGGGAAACUCACUUGGGCAUGGACAAGAAGAUGAUGGCAAUGGGCUGAGGUUGUGCUGAGCAUCCCCCACUCCAGCCUCCCUGGAUUCCAUGGACAAGGCCUUGGGAUCAGAUGGCUGCUGCUUCUCCAUAUCCCCCAGGACUUUCUGAAGGUGCCUCCCAGUCAAGCUGGAGCCUCUCCCUGGGAAGGGAAGGUUCCCAGGAUGGGAUGUGGGCACUCCUGUUUGGGACACCUGAGGGCCUGGCCUGGACAGCGGGAGGGAGUGGACUCUGCAGUUCCCAUGCCUGACUGACUGACCUGCAGAAGGCCACAUGAUGGAGACCUGGCUGUCCUUGCAGAGCCCCAGAGUUCUUUAAACAGGACAUGGGCAACUGUGCUAUGCUGGGCUGGAGCACCAGGGCACGCAGUCCAGGAGAGCAGCUGACCCCUGGAGAGCAGGUUCCUCACACGGCCAUCAGCUGGGGAGUGACCCUUCCUGAAUGUGCUCCUGCAUUCCCUUCAUAAGGUUCGGGUCUACAGGCAUGCCUUCGUGGAGACGGUACUGCAAGCUCUAGCAUCCCCUAUGGAGAGACAAAGGAUUCCUCUGGUCACAGCAUUCAUGUCAACAUUUGGUUGACAGUCUCUGCUUAGGAACCUUCACCUUGAAGGAGAGUCUGAUGAGGAAGCAUAUAGAGAUCACUGAGCACUCGUCAGGGUCCACGUGUCAGUUGGCUUGUCACCACUGCUUCUCUGAUGUCCUCUCACCUUUCUGGAGAAAAGAUCAGGUGUUGCUGACUCUCUCUCUGCAAUUUAUCUCCUCAUUUCAAAUCAAAGAGUGAUGUACUAGGUGGGCAACAUUCCAGAAAUAUCAUUGGAAACUGACCUGGGCAUUUACCUUCUGAUCGUCACCCCAGAUGUGGGCCCAGGGCUCUGUGUGUGUCUGUGCCUCCUGGGGCCCUUUCAGGGGCUUCCUCUCCAGGACAGACUUAGGUGUCUGGCUGCACAAAUGCUGAUCCUCUUUCAGAAAGAAGAAGCAGAUGUCUGAGUGCUGGAAACACGUUACUGUAUCCCCAGACUGUAUCUUUGAGACAAUUCUGUCUUUAUCUGAGACUCAGUGAACAAUUGCUCCUAGAAGUGAAAGGCAAGUUUGAGGCUGUUGUGCAGAAAAAUCGCUCAUAAAUAGAGAGAGAAAGCUUGGUCCUCCCACAGUAGUCAGCACUGACUUCUGUGUGUGCAGACAUGGCGAAGGCUCAUUUUUGAAUGUCUCGGCAGGACGAGUCAGACUAGCUAUGCAUUCCAAGUCUCCCUCCAGAGGGCACUUGUCCUCGUGGAGUCUGGGUCUGUGUGCACGUUGAGAUGGGGCGUCUGGCCGAUUACAUCUCCAGGGAUAGAUGCACAGAGUGGCCAGUCUGCCCCAUGGUGGGCUUCCCCAGGCGGUAUCAGAGAGCACGGAAGGGCAGGGUUGUUUGAAGAACAAUGUGUUUGGAGUGACAUUGCCAAGGGAGGACAGUUGACACAUGGCCAUCAUGAAAUGCAUUAAGUGGCUGUCAUAGCGACAGAUAAUAAAAGCCGUGACAGUUAGAGAGAGUGCAGCAGCACAAAAGCUACUUAAAAUGUCAUCAGGCAUUCCUGGUGGGCUCUCCUGGCUGCCGUGGCAUACAUGUUUUGACAAGCAAUUUCCAUCUCCCUUCUAGUUGGAACUGGCUUGUCUUUUUGUUUUCAAAUUUUAAAUGUGUAUCAUCCGACUAGGUUAGGUGUGGAUCUCAUGGACCUAAAAUUCCAGCUUGUCUGAAACCAACUGUUUCCCUUCCUAACUUGGUCCGUGAUCACCUGAACCAGCUCAAGUCACUCUCUCAUAUUCCCUUCAUUCAUCUUGAAUUAUUUAGCUAUAAAUGGAAGUGGCCUCAAGGCUUGGAAACAAGCCCUGGACCAGCCUUGGGCAGUGACUCUGCCCCCAAAGUCCAUUCGUCUUCCUCCUGCUGUAGCAACAGAGCCCACGGUGCACAGCCGGACAUCUGCUCUUCCAGAAUAAGGACUGCAAUUCCCAGCCUCCCUUGCAGCAAGGAGUGGUCACAUGACCAAGGGCUGGCCAAUGGGAUGCGGGAGGAAAUGAUGCGUACUACUUCUGGCUAUGCUGCUAAAGCCCGCGGUCCCUUCCCCUCCAGACGUGGACGGAAGUGGAUGGCUAGCACCAUCUUGGGUGACGAGGAGGGCGGAGGGUCCCCCUGGGCCCGGUGGGGUCCAUAGGGGUGACCCCCUACGGCCACGCCUGGAGUUGGUCACACGGAGCCCCUGGUUGUUUAAGCUGUGACGCGGCUCAGGAUGACGUCCGGCGCUCGGGCAGCUCCUCGUCUGUGCACGUCAGGUGCCCCCUGAGCCGGGCAUGAGGGACAAGCGGCCCUAGAGGGACAGCUCAGCCCCCGGUCGGCGAUGGGUCGGCCGAGCAGCUUCCCUCCGCGGUGGGCGUUCCUCUGGGCUGGGUCACCGAUACCGCGGCGGGUGACACGGUGGGAAGUCCGGCCGCCGGAACAGAGGGACAGGAGCCGCGUGGCCGUUCCGCGGGGUGACGUCUCGGACGCCUCCUGCUAGAUUGAAUCAGUCACGUCCCACGUUCCUGACACUGCUGGUCACUGGGGGUCAAGGCUGACGUGCUCCCUGCCCUCUUAGGAAACAGACAACACACGAUAAAAUGAGUAGCAGAGCAGGACGACUGUAGACAGUGAUGUUUGCUACAACAGAAGUAACUCAGCGAUGAGAGGAGAUUAACAGGGAGGCCACUUCCACAGAGUUGGAGGCGUUCUCUGCAAAGUGACUUUUCUGCUGAGAAUGGAAGGAGAGAAGGAGCCAGCCAUACAUAUGUCUCAGGAAGAACAUUCUAGGCAGAGGGAAGAGCAAAUGCAAAGUUCCACAAGAUGGGACAAAGUUUGGAGCAUUUGACAAACUGAAGGAUCUGAGUGCAGCUGGAGUGAAGGGUGUGAGUGAUGGCACGUCCCCACAAGGUGCACUUGGAGAGGGCGGUGGGGCCAGGUCAGGUUCAGCUUCACAGGUCAUGGUGAAGAGUUUGGACCGCCUCCUCAAGGCGGGGGAAGGCAAUUGAGAAGUUGGCCUCCGUCAGACCCAGACCCCACGGUCUUCUGCAGAAGCUGUCUUCUACCAUCUUCUGGUGCAUCCCCCAUCCUCCUGCCUCAGUGGUCUUUCUCUGGAGAAUGGCCUUCCUCUCUGGGACCGGCUGCCCUCUCAAGGUGCCCAUCCACUGUGUUGGGGCACUUCCAGGUCUCUGCGUGACCUGGGGGCUUGCAGGAAGUUGACAAGGUCCUCUGGAUACCAGUGGAGCCUGGUGGAGAAAUGCAGACCAGACGGCAGCUCAGAAGGGAGACCUGGGCUUGGUGGGCCUGGCAGGGGCCUGGGAGGAGCUGCAGUGCACCCCGGUGCCUGUCCUCACCAGUGUUCCCACUGACUGGGUUUGUACCCAGAAUGCA
ensembl:lncRNA